AACGCACGAGACCUGCGGACCUGCGGAAGGAUCAUUACUGAGUGAGGGCCCUCUGGGUCCAACCUCCCACCCGUGUCUCUUGUACCAUGUUGCUUCGGCGAGCCCGCCUCACGGCCGCCGGGGGGCAUCUGCCCCCGGGCCCGCGCCCGCCGAAGCCCCCUCUGAACGCUGUCUGAAGAUUGCAGUCUGAGCGAUAAGCAAAAAUUAUUUAAAACUUUCAGCAACGGAUCUCUAGAUCGG
rnacentral:misc_RNA from 1 species